rnacentral:misc_RNA from 1 species
AAAUUUAAGUUUUUUUUUUUUUUGGGUCAUUAACUCUAAAUGAACAAGGAUGCUUCCACACUUUCCUUAUGCACAAAGAAUAGCCUAUUGUCAUUUCUCUUCUCCAACCAUGAACUUUUCACCUUACAGUAAAUAUAGGGCACAAAAAAACCAUAGAACAAAUUAUUUGCUCACAUUGAUGUGAGCAUAACGUGGCUGCAGAGUACAAUCAAAAAAAUUAGGCAAUACCAUGGGAAACUUACAAGAGUUGGCCUCUUUAGCAAA